CAGCUGCCAGUCCCGAACACUCCACUGUCUCCCUCUAAACUCUCUGAAACUCUCUCUGAAAAAUUUCUUGUUACAUGGCGUCCUCUUCAAUGGCAGCGAACGGAGUGCUCACGCCGCGAUCGUCGGUGUUGCCGAACUCGAAGCAAACCCAGAACAUCAGCCGCCUCUCCUUCAGCGGCUCUCAUCUCUCCGGGACCAAAAUCCCCGCCCCCAGCACCUGUAUGAGGAAAUGCCCCACUCACAGAGUCCCGCCGCUGGUUGUCUCUCCGAAGGCUGUUUCCGAUUCCAAGAACUCCCAGACGUGUCUUGAUCCCGAUGCGAGCCGGAGUGUGUUGGGGAUUAUCCUGGGUGGGGGAGCUGGGACGAGGCUUUACCCAUUAACCAAGAAGCGUGCGAAGCCUGCUGUUCCAUUGGGAGCAAACUACAGGCUGAUCGAUAUCCCAGUCAGUAAUUGCCUCAACAGCAACGUGUCCAAGAUCUAUGUGCUGACCCAGUUCAAUUCCGCUUCGCUCAAUCGCCAUCUUUCUCGUGCUUAUGCUAGUAACAUGGGUGGCUACAAAAAUGAAGGCUUUGUUGAGGUUCUUGCUGCCCAGCAGAGCCCUGAGAAUCCCAAUUGGUUUCAGGGUACCGCGGAUGCCGUGAGACAGUACUUGUGGUUGUUUGAGGAGCACAAUGUGUUGGAAUUUUUGGUUCUUGCUGGGGAUCAUUUGUAUAGGAUGGACUAUGAGAAGUUUAUUCAGGCGCAUAGAGAAACUGAUGCAGACAUCACUGUGGCUGCUCUGCCCAUGGAUGAGAAGCGCGCUACCGCCUUUGGUUUGAUGAAGAUUGAUGAAGAGGGAAGGAUUAUUGAGUUUGCUGAGAAACCAAAAGGGGAGCAACUCAAAGCUAUGAAGGUUGAUACAACUAUCCUGGGUCUUGAUGAUGAGAGAGCUAAAGAGAUGCCUUAUAUUGCCAGCAUGGGUAUAUAUGUUGUGAGCAAAAAUAUCAUGUUAGAUCUACUUCGAGACAAGUUUCCUGGUGCAAAUGAUUUCGGGAGUGAAGUUAUUCCAGGCGCAACUUCCAUUGGUUUGAGAGUUCAAGCUUAUUUGUAUGAUGGCUACUGGGAAGAUAUUGGUACCAUUGAGGCUUUCUACAAUGCAAACUUGGGGAUAACAAAAAAACCAAUUCCAGAUUUCAGCUUUUAUGAUCGUUCAUCCCCUAUCUACACCCAACCUCGGUAUUUACCUCCAUCGAAAAUGCUUGAUGCUGAUGUCACAGAUAGUGUUAUUGGCGAGGGAUGUGUAAUAAAGAAAAACUUGCAUCUAUGUGCUAUCGUUGCAAGAAACGGGGAUCAGUAUAACCUAUUUCAGUCCUGCUCUUUAACCCAAUCCUAUCUUUUACAUAAACACAGAACUGUAAAAUUCACCAUUCAGUCGUUGGACUUCGGUCUUGCAUAGCAGAGGGUGCUGUCAUUGAAGACACAUUACUGAUGGGAGCUGACUACUAUGAGACUGAUGCUGACAGGAGGUUCCUAUCUGCGAAGGGCAGCGUGCCAAUUGGUAUUGGCAAGAAUUCCCACAUUAGGAGAGCUAUAAUUGAUAAGAAUGCGCGAAUUGGAGAGAAUGUUAAGAUUAUCAAUAGCGACAAUGUGCAAGAAGCAGCAAGAGAAACAGACGGAUAUUUCAUAAAGAGCGGGAUUGUCACAGUGAUCAAGGAUGCCUUGAUUCCUAGUGGAACAGUAAUCUAGCCGCCUCCUUAUUUUCCACUCGUUUAAUGCCAAGAGCGAAGGUUCUUUUGAGUUACUGGGCUGAGAUGCAGCUCUAGCAACUUAGCAAGUACUUUGAGCCGUUCUGUCUUCUCUUCAUGUAAUGUACAUUUCACGGUACUACGAUGUAGUUAAUGAGGAAGAGACGAAUUUGCUGUAGAUGCUCAACUUCUAUCUCAAAUAAAGUUUUUUGCCAAUUGUUCACUUCA